rnacentral:rRNA from 1 species
GACGAACGCUGGCGGCGUGCUUAACACAUGCAAGUCGAACGGAAAGGCCCUGCUUGCAGGGUACUCGAGUGGCGAACGGGUGAGUAACACGUGGGUGAUCUGCCCUGCACUUCGGGAUAAGCCUGGGAAACUGGGUCUAAUACCGGAUAGGAGCCAUUUUUAGUGUGAUGGUUGGAAAGUUUUUUCGGUGUAGGAUGAGCUCGCGGCCUAUCAGCUUGUUGGUGGGGUAAUGGCCUACCAAGGCGGCGACGGGUAGCUGGCCUGAGAGGGUGGACGGCCACAUUGGGACUGAGAUACGGCCCAGACUCCUACGGGAGGCAGCAGUGGGGAAGAUUGCACAAUGGGCGCAAGCCUGAUGCAGCGACGCCGCGUGGGGGAUGACGGCCUUCGGGUUGUAAACUCCUUUCGCUAGGGACGAAGCUUUUUGUGACGGUACCUAGAUAAGAAGCACCGGCUAACUACGUG